UGUCAAUUAUUGUCGCUUAUG
rnacentral:piRNA from 1 species